AGAGCGAACGCUGGCGGCAGGCCUAAUACAUGCAAGUCGAACGAACCCUUCGGGGUUAGUGGCGGACGGGUGAGUAACACGUGGGAACGUGCCCUUUGGUUCGGAACAACUCAGGGAAACUUGAGCUAAUACCGGAUAAGCCCUUCGGGGGAAAGAUUUAUCGCCAUUGGAGCGGCCCGCGUCUGAUUAGCUAGUUGGUGAGGUAAAGGCUCACCAAGGCUUCGAUCAGUAGCUGGUCUGAGAGGAUGAUCAGCCACACUGGGACUGAGACACGGCCCAGACUCCUACGGGAGGCAGCAGUAGGGAAUCUUGCGCAAUGGGCGAAAGCCUGACGCAGCCAUGCCGCGUGAAUGAUGAAGGUCUUAGGAUUGUAAAAUUCUUUCAGCGGGGACGAUAAUGACGGUACCCGCAGAAGAAGCCCCGGCUAACUUCGCGCCAGCAGCCGC
rnacentral:rRNA from 1 species